UUAUCUGACUAAGAUGGAUGUAAAACUUGGAUGGAAGAAGAAUUGACAAUAUUCAAUGUAUAAUGUAUAUCAUCUCUCUUUCAUGGUUUUCACCUCUUCCCCAUUUUCAGUUUGAUGUUGUUGUGAGAUUUUCUUCAUUCACAGCACUAACACUAUAUACGUGUGGUUUGGACUUUGUUUUCACCCUGUCGGUGAGGAUUGUUGUGUUAUUGUUUUCUUUGAUUUGCCAUUGUGAGUUUGGACUUUGAAAGUUUUCUAAUGGGCAAGUGAAAAGGAGCGAUCUUGAUUUGCAUUCUAGUUAGGGAAACUCUUUGUUUGACUUUGAGGAUAACGUGGUCACCCUUUUUGGAGUUUUAGUGCUCUUUUCAACUUGUUUCUUGCUUCACUCAGAUUUCAGCACUGCUUUGAGCUUUGAAGAACAAAAUGUUCGGCUUCUCUCGAAGGCAUAUGAAACUUGGCAGUCGAUUGAAGGUCCAGCUUUCUGACACUCCCCAGGGAACUAGAAGCCCCAUCAGGCAUCACCAGAAACGAAAUGGAGAAGGAGCUGCAAGGACAAGUGGUCAUUCUGAGGAAAUUGACAGCCAGUUUUUGUCUGCUACAGCUGAGAUGCAUACUAGUACAUCAGGGAGUUCAGAGAACUGGAUGGUGUUGUCAAUUGCAGGGGAAAAACCCACUCCUAGAUCUUAUCAUGCUGCAGCUGUAGUUCAGAAUAAGAUGGUAGUGGUUGGUGGUGAAUCAGGGAAUGGAUUGUUAGACGAUGUGCAGGUGCUAAAUUUUGACAGAUUUUUGUGGACCAUGGCGUCCUCUAAGCUUUACUUAUCGCCUAGCAGUCUUCCUCUAAAGAUUCCUGCUUGCAAGGGGCAUUGUUUGGUUUCUUGGGGGAAAAAAGCACUCCUAAUUGGAGGGAAAACAGACCCAGCAAGUGACAAAAUUUCUGUAUGGGUGUUUGAUACAGAGACAGAGUGCUGGUCCCUCAUGGAAGCAAAGGGAGACAUACCGGUUGCUCGCAGCGGCCACACGGUUGUGAUGGCCAACUCUGUUUUAAUAAUGUUUGGAGGAGAAGAUGCCAAAAGGAGGAAACUGAAUGAUCUACAUAUGUUUGAUCUCAAGUCCUUGACAUGGCUUCCACUUCACUACACGGGAGCAGCACCUUGUCCAAGAUUCAACCAUGUGGCAGCUCUUUAUGAUGGUAAAAUUCUAUUUAUAUUUGGAGGAGCAUCAAAAUCCAGGACCUUGAAUGACUUGUAUUCACUUGACUUUGAAACAAUGGCAUGGUCAAGAAUAAAAAUACGUGGUUUCCAUCCAUCUCCAAGGGCUGGUUGCUGUGGUGUGUUAUGUGGCACGAAAUGGUAUAUUACAGGGGGUGGAAGCAAGAAAAAACGACACGGGGAGACUUUGGUAUAUGAUGUUGUAAAAAGUGAAUGGUCUGUGGCAAUUGGGUCACCUCCAUCUUCUAUUACGACCAACAAGGGUUUUAGCCUUGUACUCGUGCAACACAAGGAUAAAGACUUCCUUGUUGCAUUUGGGGGAUCCAAAAAGGAGCCAUCAAAUCAGGUGGAAGUGUUGAUUACAGAAAAAAAUGAAUCAAGAAAGCGACCAACUUCAACCAAAGGUCAAAGAUCUUUAUUACUUGAAAAACAUUCAUUAUCUGCUGGAUUGGCUUCUCAACUUAAAAAGGACUCUUCCCAACAUUUGAUUGACUCUGUCGUGCGACAAAAUCUUGCAUCUGCAAUUGAACACGGUUCUGAAAGGAAAUCUCUGUCUGAAACCCUUCUUGAACAAGAUUCCAAUUCCCUCCGUACCAAGACCUCCCUUCGCAGGCAAUUUGAUCAUCAUGAAGAAUACAAUCCAGAUGUAAGGAUCAAGCAUUCAGAAGAUGACCCUGGUAAUCAAAUGAGAUCAAGUGGCUCCAAGACCAACAUGGAGGAACAACAGGUCUCAGUAUCUGGAAAUUCAAAUCAACAAAACCUCGGUUUUGAAAACCCUUUGCUAGAAAGUGAUGAUGUGUCAUUCCCAGAGAAUGGUAAAUCAGGAUCACUGUCUGCUGCUUCAAGCAUCCAUCAUUAUCAUGAAACUAAAGUGGCUUCCCUGAUGAGAAAAUUUGGCCUUCUGGAGGGGCAAUUGUCAGCUGCAUUAGCAAGCAGAGAAGCUGCGGAGAAAAGCUUAGCAUCUGCCUUUAAAAGCCGGCAAGAGAUGGAGAAAAAAUUAUCUGACACACUGAAGGAGAUGGAGUUACUGAGAGAGAAACUGGUGAGUGCAGAGUUAUCUCAAGAAGAAGCUACCAACCUUUCAAACUUGGUCCAUGCUGACAAUGUAAGGCUUGAGCAUGAUGUGGCUUUCCUCAAGGCUGUUUUGGAUGACACUCAAAAGUAGGAAUUGCACUCAACCAGAGGGGUUCUUGCAGCAGAAAGAGCCAGGGCAUUCCAAUUACAGGUUGAAGUUUUCCAUCUCAAACAGAGACUUCAAUCAAUAGAGAAUCGAGCCCCUACUCCUAGGAAACCUUUUCACGUGUAAUGCUUUGCAAAGUCAAAUGAUGUCAUGCCUAUCAACUUCAGCACAAAUGAUGAGACAAUGCUUCUAUGUUAUGUGGACACAAUCUAUCAAGGGAAGUGCAAUUGGAUAAUGGUUUUGAAGACCUACAGAGAGAAAGAAGCACAAUUCAUAGAACUUCCCUUUUGGCUGAGGAAAUUGGUUCUGUAUUCAUGUUUUUUAACCACUGAGCUUCACCGUUCUUGAUAAAGAGUUCAUUAGUCCUAGUAUAAUCAAAACGUGGUCAAAUAAAUGAUAAUUAAAUAAGCUGUUAUUUUUCUUGUAA